UACGUAGGGGGCAAGCGUUGUCCGGAUUUAUUGGGCGUAAGGAGCGUGUAGGUCGGUUUGGUAGGUCCGCUGUGAAAACUCGAGGCUCAACCUCGAGAUGUCGGCGGAAACCGUCUGGCUAGAGUCCGGAAGAGGAGAGUGGAAUUCCUGGUGUAGCGGUGAAAUGCGCAGAUAUCAGGAAGAACACCUAUGGCGAAGGCAGCUCUCUGGGACGGUACUGACGCUGAGACGCGAAAGCGUGGGGAGCGAACAGG
rnacentral:rRNA from 1 species